rnacentral:rRNA from 1 species
AUUGAACGCUGGCGGCAGGCCUAACACAUGCAAGUCGAACGAGUGGCGGACGGGUGAGUAGUGUCUGGGAAACUGCCUGAUGGAGGGGGAUAACUACUGGAAACGGUAGCUAAUACCGCAUACCAUCAGAUGUGCCCAGAUGGGAUUAGCUUGGUGGUGGGGUAACGGCUCACCAAGGAGACGAUCCCUAGCUGGUCUGAGAGGAUGACCAGCUACACUGCAACUGAGACACAACCCCGACUCCUACGGGAGGAAGCAGUGGAGAAUAUUGCACAAUGGGGGAAAGCCUGAUGCAGCCAAGCCGAGUGUAUGAAGAAGGCCUGAGGGUUGUAAAGUACUUUCAGCGGGCAGGCGUUACCCGAAGAAGAAGCACCGGCUAACUCCGUGCCAGCAGCCGCGGUAAUAC